rnacentral:rRNA from 1 species
GUGAGGAAUAUUGGUCAAUGGAGGCAACUCUGAACCAGCCAAGUCGCGUGAAGGAUGAAGGUCUUAUGGAUUGUAAACUUCUUUUGCAGGGGAAUAAAGUGCAGGACGUGUCCUGUUUUGUAUGUACCCUGAGAAUAAGGAUCGGCUAACUCCGUGCCAGCAGCCGCGGUAAUACGGAGGAUCCGAGCGUUAUCCGGAUUUAUUGGGUUUAAAGGGUGCGUAGGUGGUUUGAUAAGUCAGCGGUGAAAGUUUGCAGCUUAACUGUAAAAAUGCCGUUGGAACUGUCGGACUUGAGUGUAAAUGAGGUAGGCGGAAUGCGUGGUGUAGCGGUGAAAUGCAUAGAUAUCACGCAGAACUCCGAUUGCGAAGGCAGCUUACUAAGCUACAACUGACACUGAAGCACGAAAGCGUGGGGAUCAAACAGGAUUAGAUACCCUAGUAGUCC